GCGGGUGGGGGGCGGGGCAGGGCCUCGGCGCCGGGGCCACGCCCCCCCCCCUCCCACCGGCGGCGCGCGGGGGCGGCCGUUACGGGAAGGCCGGUGGACCCCGCGCCCCCGGGGCAACGGCCGCGGGUGUUCGCUGUCAGCGCCAAACCGGAACGGCGCGGCCCCGCCGUUGUUUCGGCAGGCGGUCGGGAGUGCUUCAGUGGUGCCGGCUGCUGCCCUACGGUGUUUCCCAGCGCGGGUGCGGCAGCUAGCCGAGGUUUUCAACGGAGGCGGUGCCGCCGAGCCUGAGCAGCUGCUGAGGUGCAGCCGCACAACGGUACAAAAGAUGUACAGACCGCGGGUGAAAAAGGAAUUAGAUUCUGCUGCAGUGAAAGUAUUCUGCAAGUCAUAAAUAUCAGAGGCCAUUUCAAGCAGCCAUCUGCAGAACCACAGGACAAAGGAACUGAAGAGUCCUGCUUUUCAACUCCAACUCGGAAACCUGGAUCACUGAAGAGCACUUCAUAACCGCAGAAAGAAAAUGUA